rnacentral:rRNA from 1 species
GUGGGGAAUUUUGCGCAAUGGGGGAAACCCUGACGCAGCAACGCCGCGUGGGUGAUGAAGGCCUUCGGGUCGUAAAGCCCUGUCAGAGGGGAAGAAAUGUGGGCGGCUAAUAUCCGUUCCACUUGACGGUACCCUCGGAGGAAGCACCGGCUAACUCCGUGCCAGCAGCCGCGGUAAUACGGAGGGUGCGAGCGUUGUUCGGAUUUAUUGGGCGUAAAGCGCGUGUAGGCGGUUUUUUAAGUCUGAUGUGAAAGCCCCGGGCUCAACCUGGGAAGUGCAUUGGAUACUGGAAGACUUGAGUACGGGAGAGGGCAGUGGAAUUCCUAGUGUAGGAGUGAAAUCCGUAGAUAUUAGGAGGAACACCGGUGGCGAAGGCGGCUGCCUGGACCGAUACUGACGCUGAGACGCGAAAGCGUGGGGAGCAAACAGGAUUAGAUACCCUUGUAGUCC